rnacentral:tRNA from 1 species
GCGUUGGUAGCUCAGUAGGGUAAGCGCCUGCUUCUUAUGCCGGAGAUGCGGGUUCGAAUCCCGGCGCUGACAUG